rnacentral:lncRNA from 1 species
GGAUUGCUGCUUGUCCUCAUGUUACUCUCCGUCUCUCGAUUUGACUAGAAGAAGGUAUAACCUGGCUCCAGGACACCUCUUGGUCACAUCUUCACUGCUUACCGUGAGAGAUUCUUCUAUUCUGAAUACCGCAAUGCACCGUCGAGUUUUAAGGAACCAGCAUCAAGAAGAGCUGACAAUCAUCAGCUGGCAGCUCUCUUCAGGGAUUGCUC